UCUAUACAAAUUUAGAUCUCGAGAUGUGCUAUUCCCUCCAACGAAAUAAGUUCAAGAAAUUCUGUUUGAGGCCUAAAUGACCUCAGAACAAAUGUUUACAUUCUGACAAAUCUUUUUAAGAUGCUAGAACAUAUUCGAUCUUUAAAAAAACAUAGGUUCCAAUCUGAAAAAUCAGCUUGCCGACAUUGCCUUGGCUCCACGGUGUCGUUGUCACUGCCACACAGGAAAAUCGGUCCCUCGUAGCCGCCCCGCCACAAUGCGCCCUCCCUACAACCGCGUGCACAACAGCGCAACAAACGACCCGACAUAUAGCAAUAAAAGGCAACAGUCAAAGACAUUUACUAAAAACAAUGUUGAUGCACUAAACACUUUUGAAAAAAAAUGAAGGUAGUAAAUGAAAGGCAUAAACGUUGAGUAAUAAAAUCAAAUUCCCUUGGAGUUGGCAGUAUAUAUUACCACUCAAAACGGGUGUAGUAGGACUGUAGGAGCAACAAAGAUGAUUUACUGCUAUGCACAACCAGUGCUGGUGAACAAAAAUCUGAUUGUUCAUAGAACAUAAUGCAUGCUAACAUAACUUAUGGGUUACCAGUUGUUAUACCUUGCCAAAGUAUGAAGAAGCAAAAGAUGACAGAAAUGAUCAAAGCCACCAGAUUCGCAAUGGAGAUGCUGAUUUGGAAUUCAUCAUCUUCUCCAAUGCCUUCAUACGCUCCAUCCUAGCCCUCUUUAACACCGCACGCUCCGAUAGUUCACUGAAGAAGUUAGAUCACAGAAUUUUGAAGCUAACUACAAACCAAAAAAUGACCUUGUAAAAUCUUAAACUAUCACUUGCACAACCUUGACUGGAGCAGUAUACAAUAUUUUUACUUGUUAUUUACAUGAUUCCAUCAUUCAGUUCAAUUAGCGGAUGCAGCAUACACAUGACCUUCUAUUUUGCUAGGGUACAACAAAA
rnacentral:lncRNA from 1 species